CUAGGAUUCUAAAUUAAACUAUUGUUUG
rnacentral:tRNA from 2 species